rnacentral:rRNA from 1 species
GACGAACCGUGCGAACGUUGUUCGGAAUCACUGGGCUUAAAGGGCGCGUAGGCGGGUCACCAAGUCCGGGGUGAAAUCCUUCGGCUCAACCGGAGAAUAGCCUUGGAUACUGGUGGUCUCGAGCGAGGUAGGGGCAGCUGGAACUUCCGGUGGAGCGGUGAAAUGCGUUGAUAUCGGAAGGAACGCCGGUGGCGAAAGCGAGCUGCUGGACCUCUUCUGACGCUGAGGCGCGAAAGCCAGGGGAGCAAACGGG